GACGAACGCUGGCGGCGUGCCUAAUACAUGCAAGUGGGACGCAAGGGAACACACUGUGCUUGCACACCGUGUUUACUUGAGUCGCGAACGGGUGAGUAACGCGUAGGUAACCUGCCUAUUAGCGGGGGAUAACUAUUGGAAACGAUAGCUAAUACCGCAUAAUAUUAAUUAUUGCAUGAUAAUUGAUUGAAAGAUGCAAGCGCAUCACUAGUAGAUGGACCUGCGUUGUAUUAGCUAGUUGGUAAGGUAAGAGCUUACCAAGGCGACGAUACAUAGCCGACCUGAGAGGGUGAUCGGCCACACUGGGACUGAGACACGGCCCAGACUCCUACGGGAGGCAGCAGUAGGGAAUCUUCGGCAAUGGACGAAAGUCUGACCGAGCAACGCCGCGUGAGUGAAGAAGGUUUUCGGAUCGUAAAGCUCUGUUGUAAGUCAAGAACGUGUGUGAGAGUGGAAAGUUCACACAG
rnacentral:rRNA from 1 species